GUGGAGGCAGAGGUGGCGCCUGCGCAUUGGGGUUGCGCUGGGGUGGGUGUCCAGCGCUGUAGGAGGAACGCGGUGGGAGGAAGGCUUGCGGGCGUGCGGACUCGGCUUCGGGCCGAGCGCUUUGAAGAAUUUUGCAGAACCCUGCUACCUACAGACUCUGCCAUGGAUGUCAUGUAAAGAAACCCCGGAUGUAGUAACGGACAAAACAUGAGUCAGUUUGUGUUGUGGCAUUCAGAUCUGAACACACUGGGAGAGGCUUGCAUCCUGAACUUCAUGAAAGAAGGCAGCAGGCAGAGGGCCACCAUUAUCAUCCUGUUCCUCCUGACUGUGGACACAGUGUGACCAGCUGCUUCAGGCUCCUGAUACCAUGAUUACCUUGGCACAGUGGACUGCACUCUGGAACUGCACUCACAGUUAAGAGAUUACCUCAAAUCUGAAAUAAGGCUUUGGACUUGUGAACAGUAUUGGAAUUGUUGAAGAAUAUGGGGACUUUUGAAGUUGUCCUGGACAUAUGUUUGCAUUAUAAGAUGACAAUGAAGGCUGCCAGGAAAACUCAGAAAGUAUUGUAUUACCUUUUGACUUGAGUUCAAUCCCCAAAGCCAAAGUGUGGAAGGAGAGAGCUGAUUCCUGCAACUUCUUCUGACUUCUAUAGCACUCACAUAUAUCGGGCACAUGCAUGAGUAUGCACACACACACACACACACACACACAGAUCGAAAAUAGUUGUAAUAAAAAAAAUUAAACAGAUGGUCAUGAAAUUCUGGAAA
rnacentral:lncRNA from 1 species